AAAAUUUACAAGAUUUUUUAAAAGGUUUUCUUAUAACUUCUUUUAAAAUCUGUUAAAUACUCUUGUACAUCUUUUAAAACCCUUUUAAAAUCCCUUGUAAAUUUUUUAAAACACUUUUAAACCCUUUAAAAAUCAUUAAAAAACUCUUGUAAGUCUUUUAAAGCCCUUUAAAAUCUCUUGUAAAUCUUUUAAAACCCUUUUAAAAUCUCUUGUAAUUCUCUUAAACCCUUUUAAAAUCUCUUGUAAAUCUUUUAAAAUAUUUUAAAACCCUUUUAAAAUUCCUUGUAAAUCUAUUUCCCGCCAAAAAAAAAAAUUUUACAGGAAAAAUGUUUUAGAAUUUUUUUUUUGACGGGAAAAAUGUUUUUGAAA
rnacentral:sRNA from 1 species